rnacentral:rRNA from 1 species
AUUGAACGCUGGCGGCAUGCCUUACACAUGCAAGUCGAACGGCAGCGGGCCCUUCGGGGUGCCGGCGAGUGGCGAACGGGUGAGUAAUGCAUCGGAACGUACCCGGGAGAGGGGGAUAACCGGCCGAAAGGCUGGCUAAUACCGCAUGAACUCGGAAGAGCAAAGCGGGGGACCUUCGGGCCUCGCGCUCUCGGAGCGGCCGAUGUCCGAUUAGGCUAGUUGGUGGGGUAAAGGCCCACCAAGGCGACGAUCGGUAGCGGGUCUGAGAGGAUGAUCAGCCACACUGGAACUGAGACACGGCCCAGACUCCUACGGGAGGCAGCAGUGGGGAAUAUUGGACAAUGGGCGAAAGCCUGAUCCAGCAAUGCCGCGUGUGUGAAGAAGGCCUUCGGGUUGUAAAGCCCUUUCGGCGGGGAAGAAAGGGGUCAGGCGAAUAGUCUGGCCGGAUGACGGUACCCGCAGAAGAAGCACCGGCUAACUACGUG